rnacentral:rRNA from 1 species
AACGAACGCUGGCGGCAUGCCUAACACAUGCAAGUCGAACGACACCUCCGGGUCUAGUGUCGCACGGGUCCGUGACGCGUUGGAACCUUCCCUUAGGUUUGGAAUAACUCCCCGAAAGAGGUGCUAAUACCUGCUAAUGUCCUCGGACCAAAGGUUUAUCGCCUUUGGUUGGGCCCGCGUUGGAUUACCUAGUUGGUAGGGUAAAAGCGUAUCAAUGCGUCGAUGCAUAGCUGGUCUCAGAGGAAGAGCAGCCACACUGGUACGGAGACACGGCCCAGAAUACUACGGGAGGGAGGAGAGGGGAAUAUUGGAAAGUGGGGGGAGGGAUGAAGCAGCAAGGCCGGGUAAGAGAUGAAGGCCUUAGAGAAGUAAAGCGAGUUUACACGGGAGGAGAAUGACAGUACCGGAAGAAUAAGCUCCGGCUAACUCCGUG